CAGUCGCCGCGGUAAUGCGUAGGGUCCGAGCGUUGUCCGGAAUUAUUGGGCGUAAAGAGCUCGUAGGCGGUUCAUCGCGUCUGCCGUGAAAUCCUCAGGCUCAACCUGAGGCGUGCGGUGGGUACGGGCGGGCUAGAGUGCGGUAGGGGAGAAUGGAACUCCUGGUGUAGCGGUGGAAUGCGCAGAUAUCAGGAAGAACACCGAUGGCGAAGGCAGUUCUCUGGGCCGUAACUGACGCUGAGGAGCGAAAGCGUGGGGAGCGAACAGGAUUAGAUACCCGCGUAGUCCCUGUCUCUUAUAC
rnacentral:rRNA from 1 species